AUACGUAGGGGGCAAGCGUUGUCCGGAUUUAUUGGGCGUAAAGAGCGUGUAGGCGGCCAUGCAGGUCCGUUGUGAAAACUCGAGGCUCAACCUCGAGCUGUCGAUGGAAACCGUAUGGCUAGAGUCCGGAAGAGGAGAGUGGAAUUCCUGGUGUAGCGGUGAAAUGCGCAGAUAUCAGGAAGAACACCCGUGGCGAAGGCGGCUCUCUGGGACGGUACUGACGCUGAGACGCGAAAGCGUGGGGAGCGAACAG
rnacentral:rRNA from 1 species